rnacentral:rRNA from 1 species
UACGUAGGGGGCAAGCGUUGUCCGGAUUUAUUGGGCGUAAAGAGCGUGUAGGCGGCCAGGUAGGUCGGCUGUGAAAACUCGAGGCUCAACCUCGAGAUGUCGGCCGAAACCAUCUGGCUAGAGUCCGGAAGAGGAGAGUGGAAUUCCCGGUGUAGCGGUGAAAUGCGCAGAUAUCGGGAAGAACACCCGUGGCGAAGGCGGCUCUCUGGGACGGUACUGACGCUGAGGCACGAAAGCGUGGGGAGCAAACAGG